rnacentral:lncRNA from 10 species
ACAUUAGGAAUUUCCUUUCAAACUCCAAUCAAAACAGCCCAUUUGAAUAUUUUUUUAAAGAAAUUCCAAAAAUUCUUCCUGUGAGGAUGCAUUGGCUAAAGCAGGUCAAAGUUGCUGAAGAGGACUAAGCGAGCCUCUUGGGGAAGAUGAUAUCAUCUGAUCUGUACACAUGUCACAUUCAGAACAUUCUGCAUGGCUGCUGCUGAGCUCCCAUCUGUCAGAUCUCAACAGAGAGAACAAAGACUAGAGAUGUGAGUAAUUCAAGAAACAUCCAUUUACUAGCUGAAAAAACAAAUAAAAUUAGGAGGAGCCACUUUCUUCUUGUUACAUGUUACUGAUACGUGUUCUACCUGGCCAUACCACACAUUACAUAAAAUGUAUUCAACUACUUUACUGUCAUUUGCUUA